UUUCCGUAGGUGAACCUGCGGAAGGAUCAUUAUUGGACUUUGAUACUUCAGGCUGCUGCUGGCACUCCUCGGAGUGCAUGUUCGCGCUUGUUGUCCAUUAUUUCCCCCACUGUGCACAAAAUGUAGACCUUGGAGUAGGCCUAUGUUGUUUAUCACAAUCUCUGAAUGUAAUAGAAUGGUUUUGUAUCUUGGGAAAUACAUUACAACUUUCAGCAACGGAUCUCUUGGCUCUC
rnacentral:misc_RNA from 1 species